CUUGUACUGUGAAACUGCGAAUGGCUCAUUAAAUCAGUUAUCGUUUAUUUGAUAGUACCUUACUACAUGGAUACCUGUGGUAAUUCUAGAGCUAAUACAUGCUAAAAACCCCGACUUCAGGAAGGGGUGUAUUUAUUAGAUAAAAAACCAACGCCCUUCGGGGCUCCUUGGUGAAUCAUAAUAACUUAACGAAUCGCAUGGCCUUGCGCCGGCGAUGGUUCAUUCAAAUUUCUGCCCUAUCAACUUUCGAUGGUAGGAUAGUGGCCUACCAUGGUGGCAACGGGUAACGGGGAAUUAGGGUUCGAUUCCGGAGAGGGAGCCUGAGAAACGGCUACCACAUCCAAGGAAGGCAGCAGGCGCGCAAAUUACCCAAUCCCGAUACGGGGAGGUAGUGACAAUAAAUACUGAUACGGGGCUCUUUUGGGUCUCGUAAUUGGAAUGAGAACAAUUUAAAUCCCUUAACGAGGAACAAUUGGAGGGCAAGUCUGGUGCCAGCAGCCGCGGUAAUUCCAGCUCCAAUAGCGUAUAUUAAAGUUGUUGCAGUUAAAAAGCUCGUAGUUGAACCUUGGGCCUGGCUGGCCGGUCCGCCUCACCGCGAGUACUGGUCCGGCUGGGCCUUUCCUUCUGGGGAACCUCAUGGCCUUCACUGGCUGUGGGGGGAACCAGGACUUUUACUGUGAAAAAAUUAGAGUGUUCAAAGCAGGCCUUUGCUCGAAUACAUUAGCAUGGAAUAAUAGAAUAGGACGUGUGGUUCUAUUUUGUUGGUUUCUAGGACCGCCGUAAUGAUUAAUAGGGAUAGUCGGGGGCGUCAGUAUUCAGCUGUCAGAGGUGAAAUUCUUGGAUUUGCUGAAGACUAACUACUGCGAAAGCAUUCGCCAAGGAUGUUUUCAUUAAUCAGGGAACGAAAGUUAGGGGAUCGAAGACGAUCAGAUACCGUCGUAGUCUUAACCAUAAACUAUGCCGACUAGGGAUCGGACGGGAUUCUAUAAUGACCCGUUCGGCACCUUACGAGAAAUCAAAGUU
rnacentral:rRNA from 1 species